CCGCGUGUGCGAUGAAGGCCUUCGGGUUGUUAAAGCACUGUCGAGGGGGAGGGAAGGGCGAACUUGACCGACCCCUCGGAGGAAGCACGGGCUAAGUUCGUGC
rnacentral:rRNA from 1 species